rnacentral:rRNA from 1 species
GACGAACGCUGGCGGCAUGCCUAAUACAUGCAAGUCGAACGAGACCGUCGGGUCCAUUCGCCCAUGGGUGGGUCACGCGACGGAAGCUUCACUCGGGGUCGGACUAACUCUCCGAAAGGGGUGCUAUUACCGGACAAUGUCUACUGACGAAAGAUAUAUUGCCUUUGGAUGGGCACGCGUUAGAUAAGCUAGUUCGUAGGGUAAAAGCCUACCAAGGCGAAGAUCCAUAGCUGGUCUGGGAGGAUGAUCAGCCACACUGGGGCUGGGACACGGCCCAGACUCCCACGGGAGGCAGAAAGUGGGAACGUUGGACGAUGGGCGAAAGCCUGAUCUAGCAAGGCCGCGUGAGUGAGGAAGGCCUGAGGGUUGUAAAGCUCAUUUAACAGGGAAGCUAAUGACAGUACCGGGCCAGAAAGCGACGGCUAACUCCGUG